AUUGAACGCUGGCGGCAGGCCUAACACAUGCAAGUCGAACGAGUGGCGGACGGGUGAGUAAUGUCUGGGAAACUGCCUGAUGGAGGGGGAUAACUACUGGAACCGGUAGCUAAUACCGCAUACCAUCGGAUGUGCCCAGAUGGGAUUAGCUAGUAGGUGGGGUAAAGGCUCACCUAGCCGACGAUCCCUAGCUGGUCUGAGGGGAUGACCAGCCACACUGGAACUGAGACACGGUCCAGACUCCUACGGGAGGCAGCAGUGGGGAAUAUUGCACAAUGGGCGCAAGCAUGAUGCAGCCAUGCCGCGUGUAUGAAGAAGGCCUUAGGGUUGUAAAGUACUUUCAGCGGGGAGGCGUUACCCGCAGAAGAAGCACCGGCUAACUCCGUGCCAGCAGCCGCGGUAAUUC
rnacentral:rRNA from 1 species